rnacentral:misc_RNA from 1 species
UACGUAGGCAGCAAGCGUUGUUCGGAAUUACUGGGCGUAAAGAGUGUGUAGGCGGUCGGCUAAGUUCGGUGUGAAAUCUCCCGGCUCAACUGGGAGGGUGCGCCGGAAACUGGCGGGCUGGAGCGUGGGAGAGGAAAGCGGAAUUCCUGGUGUAGCGGUGAAAUGCGUAGAGAUCAGGAGGAACACCAGCGGUGUAGACGGCUUUCUGGACCAUAGCUGACGCUGAGACACGAAAGCGUGGGUAGCAAACAGG